GUGAGUAGCAGCUUCUCUCUGUUUCAGGACGAUUCAUCAAAUGCUGAAUCCGUCACAGGGACGUUUGAGGGACUUCUGUCCUCGUUUUAAUGGAGUUUGUGCUCAACAAAACUAUGAAAACAGACGUUGAUGUUGUUAUUUUAGGGCUUUGGAGCUUAACGGGUUUGUUAAAGUGUUGAAACAACAUGGUGGUUCUUUACUCCCCACAGAACCACCAUGUUGCUUCAACAUCCCCAGAGUUUGGUCACGUUCAUAUUUACUUCUAUUUAUAGUGUACAUAGUUGGUAAAUGUUGACGUUGAUGUUGUUAUUUUAGGGCUUUGGAGCUUAACGGGUUUGUUAAAGUGUUGAAACAACAUGGUGGUUCUUUACUCCCCACAGAACCACCAUGUUGCUUCAACAUCCCCAGAGUUUGGUCACGUUCAUAUUUACUUCUAUUUAUAGUGUACAUAGUUGGUAAAUGUUGGUACUCUUCUUGUUGUCAUUGUGUUAUUUUUUAUAUUUGCCUUGUUUGUAGUUUAUUAUUUGUAGAAGUUUCAUUAAUCCGGAAUCAUGCGUCCAGCUGUGCUAACCGCUGUCCUGCUCUCGGUGCUCUUCAUCAACGCCGUGACGUCACUGAACCUCGGCAAUCUGCCGCUGCGUGAAGAGCGAGCUCUCUUCGAUGCGCCACCAGAUGUUGCGGUUCCGGUGGCUCCCGCUCCACUGAACAUGCGGGCUUCCCGAGCCGCCGACCCGAACCAGAGAAACAUUCACAAAGUUGGAGAUGAUUCUCAAUUACUCUGCAAAGGAACAGUUUGCAAUGGGUAAUGAUAAUUAGACGGGGGGGGGGGGAGCUUUGUUUGAUCAUCAUCUGCUGAUGUGUUCCUUCUCUCUGUAAAGCUGCUCCGUGUUUCUAUAACCCGCCAACACGAGCUCCAAUAAACGCUUCAGCAUUCAAGCUCCUGGUGUCACUUUGUUGGGCAAUGAGGGGUCGAUGUUCACGCUGUAGAUUAAAGCACUAGAUGAUCCGUAGAUUUCGAGCCCGACACACGCGGCUCAGCGGGGGUCCCAUCGGGUCGAGUUCAGCACCACGGACAGCGACUACGGGACCUCAUUCAUUCCUCCUGUAGGACCUGAAUGGCUUUGAUGGAACCAUUUGUAAAGUGUCAUAUCCCAAUCGUUGAACUGUCUUUAAACCAGAUCCCCAAAU
ensembl:lncRNA